UGUGAACAUUGUUACACGAUGCAGUACGGUAGCUAUGUGAAACAUAUACUUUUGACAAAAUUAUAUAAAACGAUUGCCUUAGAACCGUAGAGAAGAAAGGGAAUUGGUCUUUCUGGGAAUUAAAUAUAUGUCGAUCAACAUACGGAUUCCAGACUGGCCUUUUGCCUAAGUAACCAGGAGCUAACAGCCGUCUAAAAGAUAUCGUGGACGUCUGUUCUCUUUGACGUCAGACUCGUACACGUCGCGUGGAAGAUUAAAAAUACACGCGACCCGGAAAAGCAGUCAAUGUCAGGUAAUUAGUAUUUCGAUUGGUCCCGAUAUUAGAAUCUGGAAUUUUAGGUUAUAAAAUACAAGUUUUCGUUUAAUAUAUAUCACGAGUAUAUUUCAAAGGGAAUAUUAUUCUGUCAUAAGUCCGUACGUGACUACAAUGUAAAUAUCUGUCGAAAUAUAUGUAUUACGUAUACGUGCAUAGAGAGAUGCUCUAAACAUUGUUCGAUACUCAUUUGGUUACGAGCUGCCGUGUGAAACUCAAUGAAGGCUCUAGGGUCUCUGGCGGACGUGAAGGUCUUCGUCGACUGACAAAUCAGCCAUGAAGUAAUUAAUUGACCCUUAACGUCCUCUUCGAGAAUCUACUAGCUCAGAGGGUGAGAACUGGCUCAAGGUUCCUGAACUAAUCCGACUGGGGUAGAGAAUUUAAUCGACGUCCCACUAGGCAGACUCUUGCCAAUGAUAAAUCGACGAUAAAUCAAACAUGGAAAAAGGAUAACUGUGUAAUGGGACUAUCGAAGGAAAUAGGAUCCAGUUCAGACAAUCGUUGGCCUAGUUUACAAGUUCGAUCAGCAGAAAUGUACUGGACUGGCAAUUGAUGUAAAAAGUGUCAAGCCUCAAGGAUACUUACCACGAUAAAAUCACCAGGAAAACCGAGACUGAAGUAAGGAACUUUAUCGUGUGUGUUGGGGUUCGAUAAAUUUUCUAGAUUUUAUAAAUAAAUAAUAGAGUCUCAGCAUCCUGCUGUCGAGUAUCUGAAUGGUGCGAUCAAUAAUUCGACAGCAGGUCCCCAGCAACAGAUCCUGGCAAUAGAGUCUACCUAUCAUAAACUACCGAGAAAUGAAAAACAGGUCGGCUAAACAUAUUCAAACUGAACGAAAGUUAUCGUACCGGUUUAUAAGGAUUGAUUGCGCGAUUGGGAUUUUCGUUAUGACGUAUGUACGACAUUUUAGAUUUCUGGCAGAAGGCCUACAUGUGUUAGGUCCCAAUUUAGUUUCGCUACACGUAACUUCGGCCACGUAUCGAUCAGACUAAGGCCUCUCUUAUUUUCGCUACGUUCAAAAAAAAACAAAAUUGCUAGUUUUAAAUUCUACAGGAUUUAAAACCUGUCC